rnacentral:rRNA from 1 species
UACGUAGGGGGCAAGCGUUGUCCGGAAUCAUUGGGCGUAAAGCGCGUGUAGGCGGACUGGAAGGUCUGGUGUGAAAGCCCGGGGCUCAACCCCGGAGGGUCACUGGAAACCGACAGUCUUGAGUCCGGAAGAGGAGAGUGGAAUUCCUGGUGUAGCGGUGGAAUGCGCAGAUAUCAGGAGGAACACCUAUGGCGAAGGCAGCUCUCUGGUACGUGACUGGACGCUGAGACGCGAAAGCGUGGGGAGCGAACAGG